AGAGUUUGAUCCUGGCUCAGAUUGAACGCUGGCGGCAGGCCUAACACAUGCAAGUCGAGCGGUAGCAGACCUUCGGGUGCUGACGAGCGGCGGACGGGUGAGGAACACGUAGGAAUUUGCCUAGUAGUGGGGGAUAGCCCAGAGAAAUUUGGAGUAAUACCGCAUACGCCCUAAGGGGGAAAGUGGGGGACCGCAAGGCCUCACGCUAUUAGAGAAGCCUGCGUCGGAUUAGCUAGUUGGUAGGGUAAAGGCCUACCAAGGCGACGAUCCGUAGCUGGUCUGAGAGGAUGAUCAGCCACACUGGGACUGAGACACGGCCCAGACUCCUACGGGAGGCAGCAGUGGGGAAUAUUGGACAAUGGGCGAAAGCCUGAUCCAGCCAUGCCGCGUGUGUGAAGAAGGCCUUCGGGUUGUAAAGCACUUUAAGUGGGGAGGAAAAGCGGUUUGUGAAUAGCAAAUUGCCGUGACGUUACCCACAGAAUAAGCACCGGCAAACUCCGUGCCAGCAGCCGCGGUAAUACGGAGGGUGCGAGCGUUAAUCGGAAUUACUGGGCGUAAAGCGCACGUAGGCGGUCAUGUAAGUGGGAUGUGAAACCCCCGGGCUUAACCUGGGACUUGCAUACCAGACUGCAUGGCUAGAGUAUGAGAGAGGGUGGUGGAAUUUCCGGUGUAGCGGUGAAAUGCGUAGAGAUCGGAAGGAACAUCAGUGGCGAAGGCGGCCACCUGGCUUAAUACUGACGCUGAGGUGCGAAAGCGUGGGGAUCAAACAGGAUUAGAUACCCUGGUAGUCCACGCCGUAA
rnacentral:rRNA from 1 species